rnacentral:rRNA from 1 species
GCCAGACUCCUACGGGAGGCAGCAGUGGGGAAUAUUGGGCAAUGGGCGCAAGCCUGUCCCAGCAACGCCGCGUGAAGGAAGAAGGCUUUCGGGUUGUAAACUUCUUUUAUGAGGGACGAAACAAAUGACGGUACCUCAUGAAUAAGCCACGGCUAACUACGUGCCAGCAGCCGCGUUAAUAUGUAGGUGGCAAGCGUUAUCCGGAUUUACUGGGUGUAAAGGGCGUGUAGGCGGGACUGCAAGUCAGAUGUGGAAAUUAUGGGCUCAACCCAUAACCUGCAUUUGAAACUGUAGUUCUUGAGUGAUGGAGAGGCAGGCGGAAUUCCGGGUGUAGCGGUGAAAUGCGUAGAUAUACGGAGGAACACCAGUGGCGAAGGCGGCCUGCUGGACAUUAACUGACGCUGAGGCGCGAAAGCGUGGGGAGCAAACAGGAUUAGAUACCCCGGUAUC